CCAGUGAGGGAUUUAAAGACGGCACGUUGUCCUUGUAACAGGGAUCCAGCAGGCUGGCCACCCAGUAAUCAGCACAAGUUAGAAUGUGGGCAACUCGGCAGUCGUUGCGCAGGCACUUUGGUGACUCUAGAUAACCUCGGGCCAAUCGCACGUGCCCGUGACGGCGACGACGCAUUCGGAUGUCUGCCCUAUCAACUUUCGAUGGUACUGUCUGCGCCUACCAUGGUGACCACGGGUAACAGGGAAUCAGGGUUCGAUUCCG